rnacentral:pre_miRNA from 1 species
UGGAGGAACAACCCCAGUGGCUGCGGCAGCUCUGGAGCCCUGGAGUCAGCUCCCGCAGGAACUACAGAGCUCUCAGUCUGCAGGGCCUGGAGGCUCUGGCGCGGG